rnacentral:rRNA from 1 species
GCUUACGGCCACACCGCCUGGUUCACGCCCGAUCUCGUUUGAUCUCGGAAACUGAGAUAGGUUGGGCCUGGUUAGUACUUGGAUGGGAGACUGCCAGGGAAUACCAGGUGCUGUAAGAU